AUUGAACGCUGGCGGCAUGCUUUACACAUGCAAGUCGAACGGCAGCACGGGUGCUUGCACCUGGUGGCGAGUGGCGAACGGGUGAGUAAUGCAUCGGAACGUGCCCAUGAGUGGGGGAUAGCCCGGCGAAAGCCGGAUUAAUACCGCAUACGCCCUUAGGGGGAAAGCGGGGGAUCUUCGGACCUCGCGCGUAUUGGAGCGGCCGAUGUCCGGAUUAGCUAGUAGGUGAGGUAAAGGCUCACCUAGGCGACGAUCCGUAGCUGGUCUGAGAGGAUGAUCAGCCACACUGGGACUGAGACACGGCCCAGACUCCUACGGGAGGCAGCAGUGGGGAAUUUUGGACAAUGGGCGCAAGCCUGAUCCAGCCAUGCCGCGUGAGUGAAGAAGGCCUCGGUUGUAAGUACGUC
rnacentral:rRNA from 1 species